CGUCGGUCACUGCGCCCGCUCCCAGCUCCUGGGAUACGUACUAUCAGCCCCGGGCCCUGGAGAAACAUGCCGACAGCAUCCUGGCACUGGUUACCUGAGUCUGUCCAAAGUGGUCCCGUUCUCUCACUAUGCUGGGACGUUGCUGCUCCUGCUGGCAGGUGUAGCCUGCCUCCGAGG